CGCGUAGGCGGUCUUGUCCGUCAGGUGUGAAAGCCCGGGGCUCAACCCCGGAAGUGCACUUGAAACAGCAAGACUUGAAUACGGGAGAGGAGAGAGGAAUUCCUGGUGUAGAGGUGAAAUCCGUAGAUAUCAGGAGGAACACCGAUGGCGAAGGCAUCUCUCUGGACCGAUAUUGACGCUGAGGCGCGAAGGCGUGGGUAGCGAACAGGAUUAGAUACCCUGGUAGUCC
rnacentral:rRNA from 1 species